UACGUAGGGUGCGAGCGUUAAUCGGAAUUACUGGGCGUAAAGCGUGCGCAGGCGGUUCGUUGUGUCGGUGGUGAAAUCCCCGGGCUUAACCUGGGAAUGGCCAUGGAAACUGGCGAACUGGAGUGCGGCAGAGGGGGGUGGAAUUCCGCGUGUAGCAGUGAAAUGCGUAGAGAUGCGGAGGAACACCGAUGGCGAAGGCAGCGCCCUGGGCUAGCACUGACGCUCAGGCACGAAAGCGUGGGGAGCAAACAGG
rnacentral:rRNA from 1 species